rnacentral:rRNA from 1 species
UACAGAGGUGGCAAGCGUUGUUCGGAAUUACUGGGCGUAAAGGGCGCGUAGGCGGUUCGAUAAGUCCCGUGUGAAAUCCCUCGGCUCAACUGAGGAACUGCACGGGAAACUGACGGGCUUGAGUUCGGGAGAGGGAAGCGGAAUUCCGGGUGUAGCGGUGAAAUGCGUAGAUAUCCGGAGGAACACCGGUGGCGAAGGCGGCUUCCUGGACCGACACUGACGCUGAGGCGCGAAAGCUAGGGUAGCAAACGGG